CCCAAUGCGUGUUUGUUUAUCUACUAGCAUAUUUUUGUUGAAACCUUUAUUUUAAGUAGGUGGUUUAUGCUUUUACAAGCUGUAUUGCAUCGCUAUGCUGAGGUUGACGAUCAUCUUCAAAGUUGGUGGCAUUUACUGCUGCCCAAUAAACUCUUUUGUCCCCAAAAGAGAUAUGCAGCUAAAUGUAAAAUUUUACCAGAACACCGUUUUAAUAUCUUUGCAGCGAAAGAUGAAAUAGUUUCAGAGCUGGCCAGUGCUCGUAGGGUAAUCCCUUCACGCUCACACUACCUACCACCGCACCAUGGAAGAGCCACGACGGGUUUCCUCUUCCAUCGUCGACGGUUGCCUGUGCCGUUAUGAGUUCCCGGAUUGAUUCUCCAGGAUUUCUAUGAAGUCGCGCCACCGACUCAACGUUGACUUUACAAUUCUUGCAGGCCGUGGCGUACAAAGCCAUAAAGCCACUCGAAUUAAAAGCCAAGUUGGUCCGUGCUUUUUCAACUUCAAUGAAAAACCCUUUGAACCUAAAAAGAACAAACAUGUAUAAAAUUUAAUAAAUAUCACAAAAUA